rnacentral:tRNA from 1 species
GGAAAUGUGCCCGAAAGAUAGGGCCCUCCUUGAUAGGGAGAUUUAUAUGGGUUCAAAUCCCCUCAUUUCCU